rnacentral:ncRNA from 1 species
AAAGGGUUGGGUCAACUAUUCAAUCAAAUCUCAGGGCUUAACCCUGGACAGGCGGUGGAAACUACCAAGCUGGAGUAAGGUAGGGGCAGAGGGAAUUUUCGGUGGAGCCGUGAAAUGCGUAGAGAUCGGAAAGAACACCAACGGCGAAAGCAAUCAGCUGGGCCGACACUGAGAGACGAAAGCUAGAGGAGCGAAUGGGAUUAGAUACCCCAGUAGUCCUAGCCAUAAAUGAUGGAUACUAGGCGUUGUGCGUAUCGAACUGUGCAGUGCUAAUCUUCAAAAAAUGUUUC